rnacentral:misc_RNA from 1 species
UCCCGGUUGGCCCGGGCAGUCUCGUGUGAAAAAUCCAACACACGAUAAGGGUUGCGCUCGUUGCGGGACUUAACCCAACAUCUCACGACACGAGCUGACGACGGCCAUGCAACACCUGUCACUGCAUUCCCGAAGGCACUCAACUGUUUCCAGUCGAUUCGCAGGAUGUCAAGUCUGGGUAAGGUUCUUCGCGUAUCGUCGAAUUAAACCACAUGCUCCACCGCUUGUGCGGGUCCCCGUCAAUUCCUUUGAGUUUUAAGCUUGCGCUCGUACUCCCCAGGCGGGGUGCUUAACGCGUUAGCUUCACAGCCCAGGGGGUCGAUACCCCGAACUAUUAGCACCCAUCGUUUACGGCGUGGACUAC